GACAGAGGAUGCAAGCGUUAUCCGGAAUGAUUGGGCGUAAAGCGUCUGUAGGUGGUUCAAUAAGUCAACUGUUAAAUCUUGAGGCUCAACUUCAAAAUCGCAGUCGAAACUAUUGGACUCGAGUAUAGUAGGGGUAAAGGGAAUUUCCAGUGGAGCGGUGAAAUGCGUAGAGAUCGGAAAGAACACCAACGGCGAAGGCACUCUGCUGGGCCGACACUGACACUGAGAGACGAAAGCUAGGGGAGCGAAUGGG
rnacentral:rRNA from 1 species